AAUGUAGAAAAGUGAAUAACUUAUAUAUGACUGAAAUUGGUCAGUCGUUUCUACUCAGAACCGCAAUUCUGAACUAUAAGCAUGAAAGAUCAUUCU
rnacentral:ncRNA from 2 species